AGUGAACGCUGGCGGUAGGCCUAACACAUGCAAGUCGAACGGCAGCACAGAGGAGCUUGCUCCUUGGGUGGCGAGUGGCGGACGGGUGAGGAAUACAUCGGAAUCUACUCUGUCGUGGGGGAUAACGUAGGGAAACUUACGCUAAUACCGCAUACGACCUACGGGUGAAAGCAGGGGAUCUUCGGACCUUGCGCGAUUGAAUGAGCCGAUGUCGGAUUAGCUAGUUGGCGGGGUAAAGGCCCACCAAGGCGACGAUCCGUAGCUGGUCUGAGAGGAUGAUCAGCCACACUGGAACUGAGACACGGUCCAGACUCCUACGGGAGGCAGCAGUGGGGAAUAUUGGACAAUGGGCGCAAGCCUGAUCCAGCCAUACCGCGUGGGUGAAGAAGGCCUUCGGGUUGUAAAGCCCUUUUGUUGGGAAAGAAAUCCAUCUGGUUAAUACCCGGGUGGGAUGACGGUACCCAAAGAAUAAGCUCCGGCUAACUCCGUGCCAGCCGCCGAGUAA
rnacentral:rRNA from 1 species